GACGAACGCUGGCGGCGUGCCUAAUACAUGCAAGUAGAACGCUGAAGGAGGAGCUUGCUUCUCUGGAUGAGUUGCGAACGGGUGAGUAACGCGUAGGUAACCUGCCUGGUAGCGGGGGAUAACUAUUGGAAACGAUAGCUAAUACCGCAUAAGAGUAGAUGUUGCAUGACAUUUGCUUAAAAGGUGCAAUUGCAUCACUACCAGAUGGACCUGCGUUGUAUUAGCUAGUUGGUGGGGUAACGGCUCACCAAGGCGACGAUACAUAGCCGACCUGAGAGGGUGAUCGGCCACACUGGGACUGAGACACGGCCCAGACUCCUACGGGAGGCAGCAGUAGGGAAUCUUCGGCAAUGGACGGAAGUCUGACCGAGCAACGCCGCGUGAGUGAAGAAGGUUUUCGGAUCGUAAAGCUCUGUUGUAAGAGAAGAACGAGUGCGAGAGUGGAAAGUUCACACUGUGACGGUAUCUUACCAGAAAGGGACGGCUAACUACGUG
rnacentral:rRNA from 1 species